rnacentral:rRNA from 1 species
AGCGAACGCUGGCGGCAGGCUUAACACAUGCAAGUCGAGCGGGCAUCCUUGUGGUGUCAGCGGCAGACGGGUGAGUAACGCGUGGGAACGUGCCCUUCGGUUCGGAAUAACUCAGGGAAACUUGAGCUAAUACCGGAUACGUGCGAGAGCAGAAAGGUUUAUCUGCCGAAGGGUCGGCCCGCGUCUGAUUAGCUAGUUGGUGAGGUUAUGGCUCACCAAGGCGACGAUCAGUAGCUGGUCUGAGAGGAUGAUCAGCCACACUGGGACUAAGACACGGCCCAGACUCCUACGGGAGGCAGCAGUGGGGAAUAUUGGACAAUGGGGGCAACCCUGAUCCAGCCAUGCCGCGUGAGUGAUGACGGCCUUAGGGUUGUAAAGCUCUUUUCUUCGGGACGAUAAUGACGGUACCGGAGGAAUAAGCCCCGGCUAACUUCGUG